GCCUCUGUAGCAUAGUGGUGGUGCGUCGCCUUGGUAAGGCGAAGGUCGAGGGUUCAAACCAACCUUUUGCC
rnacentral:tRNA from 1 species